rnacentral:rRNA from 1 species
GAGACUCCGGCCCCUAACUAGCCGAGGGAACGGGCCCGUAGCGCCGCUCGCGGUGCUACGCCGUUCUCCUUCGUGCGGCUUCUUACGGGGACUGUCGGCGUCCCAGUCGAAGGAAGAGCGGAGCGAUAACAGGUCUGUGAUGCCCUUAGAUGUCCGGGGCUGCACGCGCGCUACAAUGCACGAGUCAGCGCGCCGCGCUGCCGGCGACGGCCGCAUUCACGUACAACUUCGACGGCGUAGUCAGGAUCGCGGCUUGCAAGUCGCCGCGUCAAUCUGGAAUUCCACGUAAGCGCCGCUCAUCAGGCGGCGUUGAAAGCGUCCCUGCCCUUUGUA